ensembl:snRNA Gm25930 predicted gene, 25930
GUGCUUGCUUCCGCAGCACAUAUACUACAAUUGGAAAGAUACAGAGAAGAUUAGCAUGGCCCCUGCGCAAGAAUGACACACAAAUUCGUGAAGCGUUCCAUAUUAAA